UACGUAGGGGGCAAGCGUUGUCCGGAUUUAUUGGGCGUAAAGAGCGUGUAGGCGGCCAGGUAGGUCAGCUGUGAAAACUCGAGGCUCAACCUCGAGAUGUCGGCUGAAACCAUCUGGCUAGAGUCCGGAAGAGGAGAAUGGAAUUCCCGGUGUAGCGGUGAAAUGCGCAGAUAUCGGGAAGAACACCCGUGGCGAAGGCGGUUCUCUGGGCAUUGACCUGACGCUGAG
rnacentral:rRNA from 1 species